GCCGGCUUAGCUCAGUGGUAGAGCGUCUGUCUCGUAAACAGAAGGUCGCAGGUUCGAUCCCUGCAGUCGGCA
rfam:Steinernema glaseri strain NC unplaced genomic scaffold GLAS_7380, whole genome shotgun sequence.